GACGAACCGAGCGACCGUUGUUCGGAAUCACUGGGCUUAAAGGGCGCGUAGGCGGGCUAUCAAGUCCGGGGUGAAAUCCUCCAGCUUAACUGGAGAACGGCCUCGGAUACUGAUGGUCUCGAGGGAGGUAGGGGCACGCGGAACUGUGGGUGGAGCGGUGAAAUGCGUAGAUAUCGGGAGGAACACCAGUGGCGAAGGCGGGCACCUGGGCCGACACUGACGCUGAGGCGCGAAAGCUAGGGGAGCAAACAGG
rnacentral:rRNA from 1 species